GUGUCAGCCGCCGCGGUAAUACGUAGGGGGCGAGCGUUGUCCGGAUUUACUGGGCGUAAAGCGCGUGUAGGCGGCCGUUUAAGUUGGGUGUGAAAGCCCGGGGCUCAACCCCGGGACGCCGCCCAAGACUGGACGGCUUGAGGACGGAAGAGGGGAGUGGAAUUCCAGGUGUAGCGGUGAAAUGCGUAGAGAUCUGGAGGAACACCCGUGGCGAAGGCGGCUCCCUGGUCCGUCCCUGACGCUGAGACGCGAAAGCGCGGGGAGCGAACGGGAUUAGAAACCCCAGUAGUCC
rnacentral:rRNA from 1 species